rnacentral:rRNA from 1 species
UAGUCGCACGAGUUCAGACUCGUGGCGAAUAGCUCAGUAACACGUGGCCAAACUACCCUUCGGAGCUCCAUACCCUCGGGAAACUGAGGCUAAUAGAGCAUACCACAAUCCAGCUGGAAUGAGGAUUGUGUCAAACGCUCCGGCGCCGAAGGAUGUGGCUGCGGCCGAUUAGGUAGACGGUGGGGUAACGGCCCACCGUGCCAAUAAUCGGUACGGGUCAUGAGAGUGAGAACCCGGAGACGGAAUCUGAGACAAGAUUCCGGGCCCUACGGGGCGCAGCAGGCGCGAAACCUUUACACUGCACGCCAGUGCGAUAAGGGGAUCCCAAGUGCGCAGGCAUAGAGCCUGCGCUUUUGUACACCGUAGGGAGGUGUACGAAUAAGGGCUGGGCAAGACCGGUGCCAGCCGCCGCGGUAAUACCGGCAGCCCGAGUGAUGGCCGAUUUUAUUGGGCCUAAAGCGUCCGUAGCUGGCCGCGCAAGUCCAUCGGAAAAUCCACCCGCCCAACGGGUGGGCGUCCGGUGGAAACUGCGUGGCUUGGGACCGGAAGGCGCGACGGGUACGUCCGGGGUAGGAGUGAAAUCCCGUAAUCCUGGACGGACCGCCGAUGGCGAAAGCACGUCGCGAGGACGGAUCCGACAGUGAGGGACGAAAGCCAGGGUCUCGAACCGGAUUAGAUACCCGGGUAGUCCUGGCCGUAAACAAUGUCUGUUAGGUGUGGCUCCCACUACGAGUGGGUGCUGUGCCGUAGGGAAGCCGCUAAACAGACCGCCUGGGAAGUACGUCC